GUGAUUGCUUUGGCAGUACGUGAACUAAAAUUGGAACAAUACAGAGAACAUUAGGAUGGCCCCUGCAUCGAGGAUGACGCCAAAGUUUGUGAAGCAUUCCAUAUUAUU